AGUGCAGGGCUAAAUGACGGUGAGACAGGCCAAUUGCUGAGGUCAAUUAAAAGAAAGAGAGGUCCCUGUAAGAGAACACCCUGGAGUGUUAAUGAAAUCCAUGCUGUGGAGAACCACAUGAUGAGGUUCAUUCAAAGCUGGAAAGUUCCAGGAAAAGCUGACUGUGUUCGCUGUAUAGAAGCUGAACCACUGGCACUUAAAAACAGAGACUGGUUAGCUGUUAAGUUCUACGUAAAAAAUCGCAUCACAGCAUUGCAGAGACAGGUGUAAGACUUGGUCAACACAUACUGUAUCUUGAAUGGAGAAUCUCCAGAGCUUUAUUAUUUAACUUAAAUUGUUAAUUUUGAUGGUUUUCUUUGGUCUGGUUAAUCUGGUCAUGUGGACAAGGUUGUUCAAGGUAAAAGGUUUAUUGCAAGAUGCAUAUUUGUUAGAGUUGCUGCAGUAUGUUCUUAACUUUUCUACAUCUAAUACCUAUUCUGCUACUAAUAAAUACGUCUCUAAACUAAUGCAUCUAUCUGGAAUAGUAAUUUUGUUUGCAUUAAGAAGAAAAAAGCAAUGUUCCUUCUCAGCAUGGAACUGGUCCUCACAAAGAAUGAAAACGGGUGAUGUGUGUAAUGAUGGUCCUCAGAUAUA